GCCCUGCGAGAGGUGGUGGAAACGCAGUUUAAAAGCCGCUCGGGCGGGAGCCCGUGAGUGUGGCCCGCUUCUGUUUCCUUUUUUCCCCACCCUUCUUAGACGGCGGACUUGGCUGUGAAUUUAAGGAUGUCACCUCAGAGCAGAUAAUGAAAUACUACGUGACAGUUAUCUAAGAAUAUGAGAGAAUGUUUACAACACAGCUUGACAUCAAGUCAGUAAAACGGGCCAUUGUGAAAGUGUGCAAAUGUUCAGCGUUGGGAAAGAAGCUAAAACCUGUGAAGUGACCAUUUUAGAGUUAUAGAACUGUUAAUAACGAUAUAAAUAUUAAUGAAGAGGUUGCCAAAGUGUUGGACACGACUUAACAACUAAACAGCGAUAUAAAUUAAUGAACUUUACAACAUCGAAGACACUUCUAUGUAUUUUACUUUUAUUUAAAAUUUUUGUUUAUUUGUUUUUGGCUGUGCUGGUGGUUGUUGUUGCUUGGGCUACUCUCUAGUUGCAGUGCACAGGCUUCAUUGUGGUGGCAUCUUUGUUGCAGAGCACGUGUUCUAGGGUGUGUGGGCAUCAGCAUCUGUGGCAUGUGGGCUCAAUAGUUGUGGUUUCCUGGAUCUAGGGCAAAAAGGCUCAGUAGUUGUGGCCACAGGCUUAACUGCUCCUUGGCAGGUAGGACAUUUCCUGGAUCAGGGAUCAAACCCACAUCUUCUGCCUUAAGAGGCAGGUUCUUUACCACUGAGCCACCAAGGAAGCCCUGUGUAUUUUAUCUUAUGUGACUCUCUUAACAACUCUUUGAGGUAAGUGGGGCCUCAGUCCAGCCUUGCUCUUUAGGCCCGUGAUUCUCAUAUUUUAGCUUGCAUCAGAAUCACCUGGAAGGCCUGGUUAAAACUCAGGUUGGUAGGCCCACCCACAUUUUGUGAGUCUGUGAGCCUGGAGUGGGGCCUGAAAUUUUACAUUUUUAACUUGUUCCAGGAUGCUGGACCAGCAACAGCAGUUCUAGGCCAUUUUUCACGUUCUUUGUAAAGCCAUAGCUGACCUUGUCACAUUCUUAAAUAAUAGCUCUGCAUUGCCUGCAGAAUAAAAUCUAAAUUAAUUAGAAUGGCACAAAAUGUCCUGGGUGAUCUGACUCCUGUUUAUCUUUACAGCUUUACUUCUCCAUUCCUCUCCAGCAAUAAUGAAUAACUAUUAAUAGUAGUUCUCCAAAGAAGUUGUAUUAGUUUGCUGGGACUGCCAAAUAAAAUGAUUUACAAGGUAAUACAAACUGCUCUGUCUGCCUCACAAUAGUAUGAUUUAUACAAAUGAGAUACCAUUCGUAGUCCCAGCUGUCUUAUUAUGCUGCAUAUGCAAAGUUGCCAGGGGGAAAAAAGACCAUUACUUCCAUUAUGGGCUGAAUUGUGUACCCUGAUUUCAUUCAUAUAUUGAAGCCCUAAUCCUUUGGUACUUCAAACUGUGGCUGUAUUUCCAAAGUAAGGCCUUUUAGGAGGUGAUUGAGUUAAAAUGAAGCCAUGAGUGGGCCCUAGUUCGAUCUGAUUGGUGUCCUGUAAGAGGAAGCUUGGACACAGAGAUACUAGGGAUGUAUGCGCACACAGGACAGACCAUGUGAAGACAGCAGGAAAGUGGCCACCUGUGAGCCCAGGACGGGCUUCAGCAGAAACCAGCUGUGCUUCCACUCUGAUCUUGGGCUUCUAGCCUUCGAACUGUCAGAAAAUAAAGUUCUGUUGUUUCAAAACUACCCAGUCUGCGAUAUUUUGCUGUGGCAGCCCUAGGAAGCUCAACUUUUAUAGUUGGAAGACGUCAGAUGUCAGGGGUAUUAAGUGACAUGCUUGACUCUUAGAAGGCAUUCACCUGUGUCCACUGGAUGAAUAAAUGCCUUAAAGUCACAGAGAAGCUUUCAUUAUUUUUCAAGAUCUUCCUUUAUGAAGACUUUCUGAACUACCUAAUGUCUGUAUUUUAGCACUAUCACACCACUCUGUUCAUGCCACUCACGCCAAUAUAUUACGGUGUUUGGUUACUUAACGUAUCUUUUUUCCGCUGCUCAAAAAAAUUCCACUUUUACUGGGUGUAACCUUUUCCUCAGUGUUCAUCGCAGUAUCAGUGGUCCAUAAACAUCUGUUGAAAUGUGUGCUCUAAUCUCAAUCCAAACAAAAAAAGAAAGCAAAGACCCACGCAAAAACAUGAUGUCCAAUGCUAGCAUAGGCUGAAAUGUAAGAAAUUAGUAUUUGCCAUGUUCAAAAUACUGAGCAAGAAAACUCAGGGACUUGCAUGGAAUAUACCCAA